rnacentral:rRNA from 1 species
GACAGAGGGUGCAAACGUUGUUCGGAAUUAUUGGGCGUAAAGAGCUCGUAGGCGGUGUGUCGCGUCGGCCGUGAAAACCUGCAGCUUAACUGUGGGCUGCGGUCGAUACGGGCAUCACUGGAGUUCGGCAGGGGAGACUGGAAUCCUGGUGUAGGCGGUGAAAUGCGCAGAUAUCAGGAGGAACACCGGUGGCGAAGGCGGGUCUCUGGGCCGUAACUGACGCUGAGGAGCGAAAGCAUGGGGAGCGAACGGG